GGCUCGGUUGCUUAGUUGGUCAAGCGCUCGUCUAGCAUACAAGAGUCCUGGGUUCGAAUUCCAGCUGAGCAC
rnacentral:tRNA from 1 species